UCAGGAUAGCUCAGUUGGUAGAGCAAAGGACUGAAAAUCC
rnacentral:tRNA from 1 species